rnacentral:tRNA from 2 species
GGCAGUAGCUCAGUUGGAUAGAGUAACUGGCUACGAACCAGUAGGUCGGGGGUUCGAGUCCCUCCUGCC